rnacentral:misc_RNA from 1 species
CAUGCGAAAUUAAAUGUAUCACUGUGAAACCUGUUUAAAAACAUACGUUGCAUCCUCUUCACAUUGACGUUGCUUCGUGUAGGGUUUGACGGCCGAGUCGAGUGUUCUAAUCACAACACCGUGUGGCAUGCUCGGGCACAGCAAUUUUUUGUGUCUCAAAAGAAUAUCACAGCACUGUGUCUCAAGUGCGGUACAGUGCCGUUUGAAUGGAAAACGGCUAACGCUGGCAGCAAGUUUUGGAAUACGGCCGUAGAGGAGUUCUUGGCGAACAUAACCUAUAAUCCAUGUUGUGAGUGUGACAAAACACCAACCGAAGAAAUGUUUAGAGGACAAAUACUGAAGGAUAAAACGUCUCCAGAGAAAAGCAGACAGAGAAUUACGAAAAAUAAAGUAUAUUGCGACAUGCGAGUCAAAUCCGCAGUAAUCGAAUUACAAGAAAUGUUUCACAUACACGGAUGGGAUUGAGUUAGCCGAAAAUGUGAAGACAAUUAACUUCACAGUUAAUUUUUUGAUGCGUGAAAACGACGAUUUGAAAAGACAAUUCAAGAGUCAUCGUCUCGAAGCUAACAUUUUCGACGAAGAGCUGUAAAAUCAAUUAAAUGAACACAAUCAAUCACGGGAAUUAACUAAAGCACCAGACAACACGGAAAAUUGUCUAGUCAAUCGAUAAGGCGACGCGGAGCUCAUUCUCAUAAAGCAUCUUGCCUAUGCUUAUGCCUUGAUCAAAGAAUUACAAUUGGUUCAAGAUAGAGGAUCGACGAAAACAGAUUCCACGAGUAAAGAUGAAGCUGUGAGUUUUGUAUUUGACAAAUUAUUUUUCAUCAUUAAAUAAAAUGGUGAACAUGAGUAAUUUGCAUAUUUGCUAAAUAAAUAUUUUCUCUAUAAUAAA